rnacentral:misc_RNA from 1 species
ACCUGAUGAGCCUGAUUUCUCUGUAGAUCGAGAAGAUGUUUAGCUAGUACAACAAGGAAUCAGAAAUUGAAAAGAUGAACUAAUGAGAAAAUAGGUAGUAAACUUUGUAUACUAUUUCUGUAAAUUUAUAAGUCUAGACAAGACUAGCAUUGAUAGUCACAUUCUCAACUGAAUAAAGUAUAAAUUACUUUCGACGUAUGAUGUGACAAAAUCUUUAAUAUUUCUCA